rnacentral:rRNA from 1 species
AUUGAACGCUGGCGGCAGGCCUAACACAUGCAAGUCGAGCGGAUGAAGGAGGCUUUUGCUUGUAUUAAGUUGCGGACGGGUGAGUAAGUCCCAGGAAGCUGCCUGGUAUAUGGGAAUAAGGUCCGUAAAGGGACCCGAAGCCACUACCCGUCCUGAUGUAGAAAGGGGGGGUUCUUUGGUCCCAACCCGUUUUGAUGAGCCUUGGUCGGAUUAGCUAGUUGGUUGGGUAAAGGCUUACCAAGGCGACGAUCCGUAACUGGUCUGAGAGGAUGAUCAGUCACACUGGAACUGAGACACGGUCCAGACUCCUACGGGAGGCAGCAGUGGGGAAUAUUGGACAAUGGGCGAAAGCCUGAUCCAGCCAUGCCGCGUGUGUGAAGAAGGUCUUCGGAUUGUAAAGCACUUUAAGUUGGGAGGAAGGGCAGUAAGUUAAUCUCUUGCUGUUUUGACGUUACCAACACAAUAAGCCACGGCUAACUUCGUG